AUUUUGGACAAUGGGCGCAAGCCUGAUCCAGCCAUGCCGCGUGAGUGAAGAAGGCCUUCGGGUUGUAAAGCUCUUUCGGACGGAAAGAAAUCGCGCAGGCUAAUACCCUGCGCGGAUGACGGUACCGUCAUAAGAAGCACCGGUCAAUUACGUGCCAGCAGCCGCGGUAAUACGUAGGGUGCGAGCGUUAAUCGGAAUUACUGGGCGUAAAGCGUGCGCAGGCGGUUGAUUAAGACAGGCGUGAAAUCCCCGGGCUUAACCUGGGAACUGCGCUUGUGACUGGUCAGCUAGAGUACGGCAGAGGGGGGUGGAAUUCCACGUGUAGCAGUGAAAUGCGUAGAGAUGUGGAGGAACACCAGUGGCGAAGGCGGCUUACUGGACUGUAACUGACACUGAGGCUCGAAAGCGUGGGGAGCAAACAGG
rnacentral:rRNA from 1 species